GGACACAGAGCACAUCAAAAGUUCCCAAAGAGGGCUUGCUCUCUCUUCACCUGCUCUGUUCUACAGCACACUACCGGAAGACAGCAGAAAUGAAAAGCAUUUACUUUGUGGCUGGAUUGUUUGUAAUGCUGGUACAAGGCAGCUGGCAACGUUCCCUUCAAGACACAGAGGAGAAAUCCAGAUCAUUCUCAGCUUCCCAGGCAGACCCACUCAGUGAUCCUGAUCAGAUGAAUGAGGACAAGCGCCAUUCACAGGGCACAUUCACCAGUGACUACAGCAAGUAUCUGGACUCCAGGCGUGCCCAAGAUUUUGUGCAGUGGUUGAUGAAUACCAAGAGGAACAGGAAUAACAUUGCCAAACGUCACGAUGAAUUUGAGAGACAUGCUGAAGGGACCUUUACCAGUGAUGUAAGUUCUUAUUUGGAAGGCCAAGCUGCCAAGGAAUUCAUUGCUUGGCUGGUGAAAGGCCGAGGAAGGCGAGAGUAAGUCUGUACAUUCUUAUUUGACAUUUUUUGCCUUGAUGCAGAAAAUUUAAGACUACAGUUAUCUAUAUAUGGAUCUGGAUUACAGAAGCAAUUAGUAGUCUUGCAAAGUAAGGAAAUAAUUCCUAUUGAUGAGAAACAGUAUAUAAAAGUUGAAUCCAUUUUGUUUUUGGUACUAAGU
rnacentral:sRNA from 1 species